rnacentral:tRNA from 1 species
UCCGCGGUAGCUCAACGGUAGAGCGCCUCUCUGUUAAAGAGGAUGUUGAAGGUUCGAAUCCUUCCCGCGGAGCCA